rnacentral:rRNA from 1 species
CUUAUCCCCUUCCACGUCUUGACUUCUUAUUCUUUCCUUCCGAGUCUCCUGUUAUCCCCUUCAACAUCUUUUCUCCCCCGCGGCUAUGAUUUCUAGGGUUCAUCUAGCAGUCGAUCCGUCCCCUGUCUCGCGCUGUGGAUCCGUUGUUGCGCUCGCUAGUUCACACGCGAGAUCGAGAUGGCUUCCACUGGUGAAAAUGUUCCUGUACAGUCUAAAGCAAUUUUCCAGUCAUGUUUCUCUACUAUUCGAUGGGCCAAAGCUGUUAGUAAGAUGUCUGUUAGUAAGAUGUCUGUAUUGCAGAGAAGCUUUAUACCAGAGCAAUUUAAACAUCUUCUGAAUGUGCGCGAACAUGUUAUUCUGCCCAUGGAUUUGCUUCAAUGGCUAGCAAAACAUAUCCGCUAUGGUCAAGUAGGUAUUUUUGAGCAGAGAUAGUCAUUCAUAUCACCUGAGAUAUGGUUGAUAUGGUUUUUGGGUGGCGUUCUGGUCCUGUUCCUUUCUGUCUUGAGAGCAGUGAUAUUAAUGUUGUUGAGCAAGUAAUGUUACUGCGGAAGAAAUAUAGCGAUGAUGGCAUGAUAAAGGUUGGCCACGCUUGAAACAGUAAUGUUAUUUCAGUCUAGUAAUGGUAAUG